GAAUACUAAUCAAAGAAACAGCUCCCAUAAUUUCAACAUUUGCAAACUCUAGAACACCCUUGACAUAGAAGGACAAAAGCUCUGGGAAAUAACUCAGGAAAUGUCAUUGUCUCUAUAAUAUUUUGCGCUGUAGCAUCACUGCCAGACUUCGAGCCCAAGCAAGACAGCCGCUUUGGCUUGGCAGAAAGGACUGAGACAGUCAGGACUUUGGGCUGCCUAUAUUUUGCAGAAGUCUGUGGUCCUCCCUUCCCCCACCCCACUUCCCCGCUUGUCUGUGAGACUUCUCCAAAGAGUCAAGAGUGAUGCUAUUGUUCUCUUAUUUCUCAGAAGGUGCACACGCGCCUACAGUCCCAGUGCUCUCACUUUCCACGGUUUCCCCACCACACCUGGUGUUGGCUGCUCCCGCGGCCGGUCCCAGCCGCGCUGGCCGGGCCGCCCCCAGCCCGCAGAACGCCAAACUUACGGCCGCGGCCGCGCCGCCCCCGGCGGCUCCGCAGAGCCGCGGCUCCGCUCCAGGCAGGAGCCGCUCCGGGGCGAGCGGGUGCGGAGGAACAGCACGCAGCCCGCUCCUGCAACUGCUCCGACCGCCCUCUGCCUACACGGGAGGGGAAGGGAAAGGGGAAGGAAGGCAAGGAAAGGCACAGGUGCAACCAGCACUUACCUGCUCCCCCUUCCCCUCGGCUGCCCAGCGUGCAAUUUGUCCUACAAGCUUCGACUGAGCUUCCGAGGCGUGAAGACAAAGUCGCAAAACUAAACCGAACUUGCGGAGUCCCCGCUUUAAAGCUUUGCCCUUUCAGCCUGCCCAGCCUGCCACUUUGUGAAACCCACGCUCCCUGCCCUGGCCCGUCCUCCUGCCUGGCGUGGGGCAGCCGCGGGGCCGGGCCGGGGUCCCCUCUCCUGGUCCCCGGGCAGAGCACGGAGCCACCACCGACCUCCUCGGGGGACUUAAAACCUCGCAGCCCUGCUGCCCUCUGUCUCCCUAGAGCUGCUGUCACGCCUCCCCGGCUACUGUUUAUACCGCAGGGUGCUGGUGAGCAGGGAGAGGAGGAUUUUAAAAAGUAAAAAAAUACGCUGAAUAACUAAACCGGGCGCUUUCCCAGAAUAAAAGGUGGAGAGAGCGGAGUGUGCGCGCCGGCAGCAGGAGAAGGCUCAGUGUCAUGCUGGGGCUGGUGCCCGGCAGCACCCACCAGAGCCCCGCAACCCCGGAGCUGUUCGGGGCAGCCGAUCUGGGAAAGGAGUACCUGCUUUGUUUGGACGUGGUCAGCGGCAGCACAAACUUUCUGCCUCCUUUCAGCACUGCUGAAGCCGUUUGGGUCUGCAGAACCAAACAGAUCUACAACUGAAACGUGAUCAGCCAGGAGUCAGCACGCCUCCUGACAAAAAAAAAAAAAAAAAAAAAACAAAAAAAAAGCUAAGGUUCCAAAUGUUGGCAGAGCUGCUGAACUGACAUUUUUCACGGACAAAAAUAUUUUUAACACAUACUGUUUUUAGAACAAUGGACUGUAUCAAGGGCAACUGUAAGAGAUGCACCUUGGCCAAUGUCUUUUGAUUCAUAUUUACCAGAAAAAGCAUUUUCAACAUGAUAUAAACAAACUAAUAAUGUGAAUAUAUAAUUACUUUUCAUUACUACUAUACAUUAUACUAUGAAGUGUGCUGUCAACACUAAUAAAGUAAUGUGCGAAUAAAGUCACUUGAAUAAGAAAAAAACAGCAACAAAACAAUUGAUUUUGAUUGCAAAGUUUUUUUAAAAAUAAUUUUAAUUUCUGAAUUGGUUUAUAAUCUUUGAAUACACAAAUGCAUCAUGCAUAACUAUUUCAGUGAAUAUAAUAUGUAACUGCUAUGUGUUUCUUGUCUUUAAGCUGCACUUUCAGAUGUGAUUUCCAAUGUCACCCUUCUAAUCAGAGGGAAGCAAUUCAACAUGGCAUUUGUGAACUGAAGUAGUCGUUUAAAGAGAGCAACUAGAAGCAAUCUACAUUCUCCAAGUUGUGGAGUGUCUGAGUGCAUGGUUCCAACUUAAUAAGAUGUAUUCAGGCAAGAAAAUCCUGAAACAUGAUUGCACACAGUUGCUUAAGAUUGUAAUUAAGGAUUCGCCUUUCCUUUGUUCUCCUUCCCCCAAUCCCUAAUUCAUCUUUUACAAGUUAAUCAAAAUAAGACUCUCUGCACUGAUCCUUAGAGGACAAGGUUCAAGGACAGAUUACCUUUCUUUUUAAUCAUGAAAUAUCAUAAAUACCUCUCCUUUAUCUUCUUUCAAACUCACUCAGAGAUGUAACCAUGAAAAUUUAUCUUUUUUACCAUUUAAUUCAGUAGCUAUGACUUCAAUGAUGAAAACAACAGUCAAAAACAGAGAAAAAAUCUUUGUUUGCAAAUAGUAUGAUAUAAACAAAGAAUCUACAAGAGGUCAUGAGCUUCAUAAACUUCAGCAAAUAUCCUCAAACUUUUUAUUUGCUCUUCAGGUUCAAAAUAGGGACUAAGUAGUUUUACAGUCACUUGAAAUCAUUAUAAAGGAAGGACUCUUUCUUAUUAAUUUUGAUUCUGAUCCAGAUAUUACUAAUGGAAAAAUAGAAUAGUCAAUUAUCACCCAAUUAAAAAGCUUUCAUGUGUAGCUUCACGGAGUAUUUCAUGACUUUCUUUCUAACAGACCUCUCUCAAGGAUGUGUUUUAUGUUCCAAAAAUCUAGUCCCUCAAGCAAAACCUCUCAUUAAGCUUUGUGUCAGUGAAAACAUUUGAACUUAUUUUUACUCUGUUGAAAAUAGGAUAGAUAUUUUUGCCUUAUUAUUUUUCUAAAUGCUUAUGUUGUCAUAUCAAAAUAAAAUGUAUGAAACCCUUUGACUUUCAUGGGAGUAAAACAGUGACUCCAAGCAAAAUAUGUGACUAAGCAGACCAAUUUAAUUUCAUUGCACAGGCAGAAUAAAAUAUAAAGAAGCAAUUAUUCUUAGUCACUUUUGGCAAUCUACCAUUUUUAGUAACAUAAGCAAAUGUAUGGUUUUUAAUACAAUUUGUUCUUGACUGUCUUGAUUGUGGGUUUUUGCCAAUGAGUCAGUCCAUUCCAAAGCAUUGACUGGAUCAUUUUGGCAGGAAUCCACACCUACAGAGCUGUUGUACUUCUUUCUAAUAUGUUGUAGAGUGCAUUUACCCAUCCUGAGAGGUACAGGUGUAGCACUUCCAGAGGAAAGUCUACAGUUUGUAUGAACAAACCUUGGACCAUGCUGGACUGUGUCUUAGGUAGGUGCUGUAAAGAGUAACUGCAGGCAUCAAAACACAUUGGUACUGGCACCUUUCCCAUCUUUUCACUUCUGGAACUAUCAAGGAUGCAUCUUCACAUUACAAGUCACAUUGCUGCUUUGUAGAGUGGAUCCAUAGAUUUAGGACCACUAAAUAUGAAACUGCAUCUCCUGAAACAUGCUCUUAAAUGCUUCUUAGACAGUGAGAGUUUUGGUGGCCACUGCUUAUGAAGGAUUUUGACCAGAAACACAGAAUAAAUUUGUUUAAUGUUUGUA